rnacentral:rRNA from 1 species
GACGAACGCUGGCGGCGUGCUUAACACAUGCAAGUCGAACGCUGAAGCUUGGUGCUUGCACUGGAUGGAUGAGUGGCGAACGGGUGAGUAAUACGUGAGUAACCUGCCCUUGACUCUGGGAUAAGCCUGGGAAACUGGGUCUAAUACUGGAUACGACAUGUCACCGCAUGGUGGUGUGUGGAAAGGGUUUUACUGGUUUUGGAUGGGCUCACGGCCUAUCAGCUUGUUGGUGGGGUAAUGGCUCACCAAGGCGACGACGGGUAGCCGGCCUGAGAGGGUGACCGGCCACACUGGGACUGAGACACGGCCCAGACUCCUACGGGAGGCAGCAGUGGGGAAUAUUGCACAAUGGGCGGAAGCCUGAUGCAGCGACGCCGCGUGAGGGAUGACGGCCUUCGGGUUGUAAACCUCUUUCAGCACGGAAGAAGCGAAAGUGACGGUACGUGCAGAAGAAGCGCCGGCUAACUACGUG